AACGAACGCUGGCGGCAGGCCUAACACAUGCAAGUCGAACGCCCCGCAAGGGGAGUGGCGCACGGGUGAGUAACGCGUGGGAAUAUGCCCUUCGGUUCGGAAUAACACAGGGAAACUUGUGCUAAUACCGGAUACGAUCUACGGAUGAAAGAUUUAUCGCCGAGGGAGUAGCCCACGUAGGAUUAGCUAGUUGGUGAGGUAAUGGCUCACCAAGGCGACGAUCCUUAGCUGGUCUGAGAGGAUGAUCAGCCACACUGGGACUGAGACACGGCCCAAACUCCUGCGGGAUGCAGCAGUGGGGAAUAUUGGACAAUGGGCGAAAGCCUGAUCCAGCCAUGCCGUGUGAGUGAUGAAGGCCUUAGGGUUGUAAAGCUCUUUCGCCAGGGAAGAUAAUGACGGUACCUGGAAAAGAAGCCUCGGCUAACUCCGUGCCAGCAGCCGCCGUAA
rnacentral:rRNA from 1 species